rnacentral:misc_RNA from 1 species
GAUGAAGAACGCAGCGAAAUGCGAUAAGUAGUGUGAAUUGCAGAAUUCCGUGAAUCAUCGAAUCUUUGAACGCACAUUGCGCCUCCUGGUAGUCCGGGAGGCAUGCCUGUUCGAGCGUCACCAAAUCCAACUCAAGCGGUUUUGCGCUUGGUCGUGGCGGAAGAGUCGGUCUGGUUGCCGUCUCCCCUCCGAAAAUCAACGGCGGAAAGUCACUGGCAGUCAGCGUAGUAGUAUCGUUCGCCGAACAUCCAGUGGCAUUCCUGCCGACGUACCCCCACAAUUCUCGUGAUUGACCUCGGAUCAGGUAGGGAUACCCGCUGAAUUUAAGCAUAUCAAUAAGCGGAGGA